rnacentral:rRNA from 1 species
AGAGUUUGAUCCUGGCUCAGAACGAACGCUGGCGGCGUGGAUAAGACAUGCAAGUCGAGCGGGACAUUUCGGGUAGCAAUAUUCGGAAUGUCUAGCGGCGCAAAGGGUGCGUAACACGUGGGUAAUUUGCCAUGAAGCUGGGGACAACUCCGGGAAACCGGAGCUAAUACCGAAUGUGAACAUUUUUGGGCAUCCAGAGAUGUUUAAAGCUGGGGACCGCAAGGCCUGGCACUUCAUGAUGAGCCCGCGGCCUAUCAGCUAGUUGGUGAGGUAACGGCUCACCAAGGCUAAGACGGGUAGCUGGUCUGAGAGGACGACCAGCCACACUGGAACUGAGACACGGUCCAGACACCUACGGGUGGCAGCAGUCGAGAAUUUUUCACAAUGGGCGCAAGCCUGGUGGAGCGACGCCGCGUGGGGGAUGGAGGGCUUCGGCUCGUAAACCCCCGUCAGUUGCGAACAAAGUUCACUCAAUAACACUGGGUGGAUUGAUAGUAGUGACAGAGGAAGGGACGGCUAACUCUGUGCCAGCAGCCGCGGUAAUACAGAGGUCCCGAGCGUUGUUCGGAUUCACUGGGCGUAAAGGGUGCGUAGGCGGUUCUGAAAGUCUGAUGUGAAAUCUCCAGGCCCAACCUGGAAACGGCAUUAGAAACUACAGGGCUAGAGGCUUGGAGGGGGAACUGGAAUUCUCGGUGUAGCAGUGAAAUGCGUAGAGAUCGAGAGGAACACCAGUGGCGAAGGCGAGUUCCUGGACAAGUCCUGACGCUGAGGCACGAAAGCCAGGGGAGCAAACAGGAUUAGAUACCCUAGUAGUCC